rnacentral:rRNA from 1 species
UACGUAGGGUGCAAGCGUUAAUCGGAAUUACUGGGCGUAAAGCGUGCGCAGGCGGUUAUGUAAGACAGAUGUGAAAUCCCCGGGCUCAACCUGGGAACUGCAUUAGUGACUGCAUAGCUGGAGUACGGCAGAGGGGGAUGGAAUUCCGCGUGUAGCAGUGAAAUGCGUAGAUAUGCGGAGGAACACCGAUGGCGAAGGCAAUCCCCCUGGGCCUGUACUG